rnacentral:rRNA from 1 species
AGAACGAACGCUGGCGGCAUGCCUAAUACAUGCAAGUCGAACGAACUCUUCGGAGUUAGUGGCGCACGGGUGCGUAACGCGUGGGAAUCUGCCCCUUGGUUCGGAAUAACAGUUGGAAACGACUGCUAAUACCGGAUGAUGACGAAAGUCCAAAGAUUUAUCGCCAAGGGAUGAGCCCGCGUAGGAUUAGCUAGUUGGUGAGGUAAAGGCUCACCAAGGCAACGAUCCUUAGCUGGUCUGAGAGGAUGAUCAGCCACACUGGGACUGAGACACGGCCCAGACUCCGUACGGGAGGCAGCAGUAGGGAAUAGUUGGACAA